CGCGAAGUGCGGUCAGUGGCCCAGCAGUACUGGCGUAACCAGGGAGUUUGUUAGAAAGUUUGAGAAACUCUGACUUACAUAAAAGAAGCCAACAAAUAAGAGAUCUAAUCUAGAUGAGAGAAACCAGCAAAAAGAGAGGGAAGAGGAUCCAGGAGGGGAAGCAGGAUUAAUGCAGAAUCACCAAAGCGAGCUGGAUUGUGCAGAUGACUACGAGCUGCUGGGGUUGACAGAGCCACCAGAAGGAAGGUGCCCGGAUGAAGGAGAGCUGCCCACUGACCAGGAACACCCGCUGCCAAUUAUUAUAGCUGUUUGAAUCCUAGAACACGGUGGAAAUAAGGGCUUUACAGACGUGACACCUUGAAGCUGUCCUGAAUUUCCCACUGGCUGCAUUUGGGAUGAAG